UGGACAGAUUAUUGUAUUCGACUGUAUUCACAGCGUGAAAUAGGGGAUUACAUUAUUUUUAAAACGGAAAGUGAAUCAAUUAACAUAAUAGACUCCU
rfam:Nicotiana sylvestris Nsyl_contig6278, whole genome shotgun sequence.